AGAGUUUGAUCAUGGCUCAGGACGAACGCUGGCGGCGUGCCUAAUGCAUGCAAGUCGAGCGAGCGGAACUAACAGAUUUACUUCGGUAAUGACGUUAGGAAAGCGAGCGGCGGAUGGGUGAGUAACACGUGGGGAACCUGCCCCAUAGUCUGGGAUACCACUUGGAAACAGGUGCUAAUACCGGAUAAGAAAGCAGAUCGCAUGAUCAGCUUUUAAAAGGCGGCGUAAGCUGUCGCUAUGGGAUGGCCCCGCGGUGCAUUAGCUAGUUGGUAAGGUAAAGGCUUACCAAGGCGAUGAUGCAUAGCCGAGUUGAGAGACUGAUCGGCCACAUUGGGACUGAGACACGGCCCAAACUCCUACGGGAAGCAGCAGUAGGGAAUCUUCCACAAUGGACGCAAGUCUGAUGGAGCAACGCCGCGUGAGUGAAGAAGGUUUUCGGAUCGUAAAGCUCUGUUGUUGGUGAAGAAGGAUAGAGGUAGUAACUGGCCUUUAUUUGACGGUAAUCAACCAGAAAGUCACGGCUAACUACGUGCCAGCAGCCGCGGUAAUACGUAGGUGGCAAGCGUUGUCCUUUUCUCAGGACUCAUC
rnacentral:rRNA from 1 species